rfam:Sclerotinia sclerotiorum 1980 scaffold_8 genomic scaffold, whole genome shotgun sequence.
GUCUUCGUGGCUCAGUUGGUUAGAGCGUUGGUCUCAUAUUUCUAUCUUUCUUUCUUCUUGAAUGAUUGAUUAUAUAUAUGAGGUGGUUGUUAACAAUCACUUGAGCCAUCCAAAGGUCGAGAGUUCGAGUCUCUCCGAGGACA